rnacentral:lncRNA from 1 species
AUGCCUGGCUAUAGGCUCUUCAGAAGGGACAGGCAGCACAGAAGGGGUGGCGGUGUGGCUCUCUAUAUUAGAGAGUCUUUCGAUGUUGUAGAACUCGAGGCUAGGAAUGACAAGAUCGAGUCCCUUUGGGUUAGGAUCGGCAGGGACAACAAGGCUAGUGUCCUGGUCGGGGUCUGCUAUAGACCGCCGAACCAGGAUGAGGAGACGGAUGAGGAGUUCUACAGGCAGCUGACAGAAGUUGCGAAAUCGUCGGCGCUUGUACUCGUGGGGGACUUCAACUUCCCUGACAUAUCCUGGAAGCACAACACAGCCCAGAGAAAGCAGUCUAGGAGGUUUCUGGAGAGCGUGGAAGAUAGCUUCCUGACGCAGAUGAUUAGUGAACCUACCAGGGGUGGUGCCCUGCUAGACCUUCUCUUCACAAACAGAGAAGGACUGGUGGAGGAUGUGAUUGUCGGGAACAGUCUUGGGCAGAGUGACCACGAAAUGGUGGAGUUCACUAUUCUUGGCGGGGCCAGGAAGGGAACCAGUAAAACCACUGUAUUGGACUUCCGGAGGGCUGACUUUGGGCUGCUCAGGACACUGGUUGGUGGAGUCCCAUGGGAGGCGGUUCUGAAGGGCAGAGGGGUCCAGAAAGGCUGGGCGCUCUUUAAGAGGCAAAUCCUAAUGGCGCAGGAGCGGUCUAUUCCCAUGCGCCCAAAGAUGAGCCAGCGGGGAAGACCAGCCUGGCUCAACAGAGAAUUGUGGCUUGAGCUAAGGAGAAAAAAGAGGGUUUAUAAUCUUUGGAAAAUUGGGCAGGCCACUAAGGAGGACUAUAAGGAUGUAGCGAGGCUGUGCAGGGACAAGAUUAGGAAGGCCAAAGCUCAUCUGGAGCUCAAUCUGGCUACUGCUGUUAAAGAUAACAAAAAACGUUUUUAUAAAUACAUCAACACCAAAAGGAGGAGUAGGGAGAAUCUCCAUCCUUUACUGGAUGCGGAGGGAAACUUAGUUACAAGAGAUGAGGAAAAGGCGGAGGUGCUUAAUGCCUUCUUUGCCUCAGUCUUUAGCGGCAAAACCGGUUGCUCUCUGGAUACCCAGUACCCAGAACUGGUGGAAGGGGACGGGGAGCAGGAUGUGGCCCUCACUAUCCACGAAGAACUGGUUGGUGACCUGCUACGGCACUUGGAUGUGCACAAAUCGAUGGGGCCGGAUGGGAUCCACCCGAGGGUACUGAGAGAA